GGUAUUCUAUAUCAGCUGUCGCGGAACGGUUUAGGGCUAUCGAUAGUUAGUCAAGUUGCAUUUUAGAGCCGCCAGAACUUAGAGAUAUUUGUGUCAGGAAUCUCGUGAAUGUGUAAUUCGGGCACACUAAAUCAUGUAAAGUUAUGCUUAAUUUUGGCGGAUAGUAUUACUACGAUUUGAGCAUCACACUGAGUGGGAAGGGAAACUGCGGUAUGUAAGAUAAAGACUGUAUUGCAGGUUAAGUUAACCAUUGUAUAUCCCACAGAAUAAAACAUAAGACCCAAAUACUCUGUUUGUUAUCGAACACGAGGUGUUUUCUUGGGCGUUAACUUGCAAUGCACCCCGUGAUAGUUCGAGCGUCGUCAUUUUCUUUUAUUCGCACUCUGCAUUCGCAAGGUGCAUUGGAUUUGCACUCUGCGAGAAGAUGCCAAUGAAGCAUUCGCCCCGGCGGAGCCCCAGACUGGAUGUCGGGGGUGCUCCCGCAACUGCGACCACCACGGCCACAGCAACUGGCAAGCCGGCCAGCUCUGCGAGUGUGGCUGGUGAUCGGCAGCGGCCACAGACUCCGAAGGAAAGUGGAGUAGCCGCCAGUGAAGCGGCAAGUAACCUGCAGCCCGCAGCUACGGGGCAGCUUACGGACUCCACGACUGUACAAGUGGCGGCCCUCAUGGAAAGGAUCGCACAUCUAGAGUCGGAGCUGGUGAAGGCAAGGGCAAAUGAAGGGCAUGCAGAGGCCGCCAGGGAUCCCGUUGGAGUCGGGGCACGCGGCGUUGGAGUGAGCGGUACGGCGAAUACACCGCCAUGUUUGAGUGAAACGGUGCCAUGUCUGAGAGCAGCACCACGGCAGGGCUCGAGUGAGAGCCUGCCCAGGCAGAUUAUGAGUGACAAUCUGCAACCGGAGCUUGGAGUGACGCCAUCUUUGGAUGCGCAGUUGCCGGCACAAUUGAGUGCAAGUUUGCCGCCACAAUUGAGUGGAAAUUUGGCGCCGACGCUUGGCGGCCAUUGGGCAAACGGGCAACCUGUCACACGGAGUUGUACAACAACAACAGUGAGGUAUUCUCCGCCAUUUUGUGUUACCGCCACGGCGCAGCCUGAACGAGGUUAUGUUCACCCGCCACGGGAGCCAACACACAAUUUGGAGGUAUCAACGCCAUCGCCCCUAUCAUAUGGAAUGGCGGCGACGAGCAUACCUGGAUGGACGCCACGCAGACUGCCUGAUCUUCCCGAGUUUGAGGGUCAGCCAGAGGAAUGGCCAAUAUUCUUGUGCGCGUUCACGGAGACAACGGCAGCUUACCAGUGUACAGAUUUGGAGAAUAACCAGAGGCUAGUGAAAGCCCUGAAGGGUGAAGCCCGAGCAGCUGUGAAGUCGCUGCUCAUCCACCCCAGCAAUGUGCAAGCUGUUAUGGAGCAGCUACGAUUCCGGUAUGGACGUCCGGAGCUUUUGAUCCGUAGCCAACUGGAGAGCGUGCGCGAUGUGCAGCCAAUACAGGAGGCCAACAUCGCAAGGAUCGUGCCGUUCGCCACAAGGGUGAGCAACCUGGCAGCGUUCCUGCAGUCAACCACGACCGGCAGCCAGCACUUAGGGAAUCCAACCCUAAUGGAGGAGCUGAUCGCCAAGUUGCCUGUGAGCAAGAGGUUGGACUGGGCGAAGCACGCGGCUACGAUACAGCCAUAUCCGACAGUGGUGCAUCUAAGCGAGUGGCUUCAUGAAUUCGCUAAAUUGGUGUGCACUGUCACGGACGUCGGAAUCAAGGAGCACCCGAGACGAAGGGUAUUGCACGCGAAUAGUGUUCGCGAGGAGGAGCGGUAUGCAGACCGCCCCAGAUGUUGCCCCUUGUGUGAGGGACAACACAGCAUCAAGGACUGCAAGGAAUUCAACCGAGCUUCUACAACGAGGCGGAUCGAGUCCGCGAAGAGGUUGAGGUUAUGUUUUUCGUGUCUGGAGUAUGGACAUAUGGCCCGGUUCUGCACGAAGGAUCGAGGAUGCAACGUCUACGGAUGCCGGAUGAGGCAUCAUUACCUACUCCAUGACCCAGCUGGACAUCCCAGACGACCGCCAGUCGCAGAUGGAGGCCGCAGGAGGGAUCAGCGGAGCAGUCAAGACCGGCAGCUGUACAGAGACAGCGGCCGACGGAUACGAAUGCCACAGUCAGUGGAUUCCAACGAGAAGAGCCUGCCUACGUCAGCUGCAGUUAUAGACGCGGGACGUAAGGAGGAUGAGAGGCGAUCGACAUGCGACCGCCAGGAAUUAUCGCACCGGAACUUGAGUUGUGUCGAUUCGGAUGGAGGUCACCUGCUGUUCCGGAUUUUGCCCGUGACGUUGUACGGGGAGAAUACGCAGGUCGACACCUACGCACUGCUGGAUGAAGGUUCGUCCGUCACGCUCAUUGACGACGAGCUCAUCCGCAGCCUGAACCUGAGAGGCGAGAGUCGACAACUAAAUGUGCAAUGGUUCGGCGGAAAAUCCGUCAAAGAGCACACAAGGAUGGUUAGCCUGCAGAUCAGCGCAGCGGGCAAGCCGAAGCGCCAUGCGCUGAAGAAUGUGUACGGAGUAGCAAACCUGAGUCUCCCGAUGCAGAGCUUGCGUCGAGAGGAUGUGAAGGCAGCGGGCGCGAGUGUACGUCUGCCUGUAAAGCCGUACAACAAUGCGGCGCCAAGGAUCCUAAUUGGAUUGGAUCAUGCGCACCUAGGAAUACCCUUCAGAACCAGGAGCUAUGGAUCUGGAGGGCCAUACGCAGCAGCCACGCCACUUGGGUGGGUGGUAUAUGGACCGGUGAAAGGAAAGGCAAGUUCACCGCUUCAGAGAUCGUGCCUCCUAGCCGUGCCACAGGAUAAUCUUCUGGAGAAGAUGGUCAGCGAUUACUUCGAGAUCGAGAGUUUCGGAGUGAAGCCGGCACAGCCAGUCGCAGCUGGCGGAGUGGAGCUGGCGCCGUCAGUCGCAGAUGACGGCAACGCACGGGCCCUGAGUAUCCUGGAGGAGACGACUAAGCGAGUAGGCCGACGAUACGAGACUGGGCUGCUAUGGAGAGACGACGAGGUGAGACUGCCAGAGAGCUACAGUAUGGCACUCAACAGACUUGUCAACAUUGAGCGGAAAAUGAAGCGCGAUGUGGACUUCGCGCGGGCCUACAAAGGAAUUAUGGACGAUUACGUCAAGAAGGGUUACGCACGACGACUGGAGCCCCAGGAAGUCCAGAGGUCCCAGGAAGGCAAGGUAUGGUACCUGCCGCACUUCGGAGUAGAGAACCCGAACAAGCCUGGAAAAAUCCGGCUGGUCUUCGACGCGGCUGCCAAGGUGAACGGAGUGUCCCUGAACUCAGCGCUGAUGAAAGGCCCACAGCGCUACAAACCCCUCCCAGCGGUGCUCUUCCAUUUCCGGGAAGGAGCAGUUGGGGUUUGUGCCGACAUCAAGGAGAUGUUUCAUCAGGUAUUGAUGCAGCCAAAGGACAGAUGUGCCCAGAGGUUCCUAUGGAGGAACGGAGAAGAUCGUCGGGAGCCCGACAUAUACGAGAUGCAGGUGAUGACGUUUGGAGCGGCCUGCUCACCAUGCUCGGCGGAUUAUGUGAAGACCGUGAAUGCUUCGCAGUAUAGCAGCACGGAUCCGCGAGCAGUCCUGGCGAUCAACGAGUAUCACUACGUGGAUGACUACGUCGACAGUUUCCCCAGUGAAGAAGAAGCUAUCGCCGUCUCGUCACGGGUGAGAGAUAUACAUGCAGAAGCUGGUUUUAAUUUGUGUCGAUUUACUUCCAGUUCGGCAAGUGUGGUCAGAGCGUUGAACCCACUUGAAUCCAUCGCUAGCGUUAGAUGGACCGAAGCUGAGGAGAAGGUACUAGGAAUGUACUGGCAGCCAGCUACAGAUGACUUCAAGUUCGGCGUCAAAUACCAUCGAGUCCCAAGAAGUGUGAUGACAGGAGAACGCGUCCCCACGAAGAGGGAGUUCCUGAGCCUGGUCAUGUCCACGUUCGACCCGAUUGGGUUUUUGAGCUGCUACAUGGUGACCGCUAAAGUACUAAUGCGAGAGAUUUGGCGGAGAGGAGUCGGCUGGGACGAGCCGCUACCAGACACGUUGGCCGCAGCCUUUGAGAGCUGGCGGCAAGGGAUGAAGAAGAUCGAAGAAUUCCGAUGUCCACGCUACUAUUUCGGCGAUGGACGAGUGCGGACACUACAGCUGCAUAUCUUCGUGGAUUCAAGCCAGUCGGCGUUCGCAGCAGCGGCCUAUUGGCGGGCCACAUACGCAAGCGGAGAUGUGCAGGCGCAUUUCAUAUGUUCGAAGACGAAGUGCGCUCCGAUGAGGACUAUGUCAAUCCCGCGACUGGAACUUCAAGCAGCAGUAUUAGGAACGAGACUGAUGGACACCGUCAAGCAAGAGCACGGUGUGGCGAUCAGCAGCUGCGUACUAUGGACGGAUUCUAAGACUGUGCUGCACUGGAUAAGCAGCACCCACCGGAGAUACAAGCAAUUCGUCGGAAACCGGGUGGCAGAGAUCUUAGAAUCCACGGAGGCGUCCCAAUGGAGAUGGAUCCCGUCUGCCGAAAACGUGGCAGAUGACGCGACAAGGCCGCGCGAGUGCGUGGACCUGUCCAUUGGAUCGCGGUGGCUGAGUGGUCCACCAUUCUUACGAGGAUCAGAAGAAAGCUGGCCGAGAUCGCGCGAGGACUGGAAUCCCCCGACGCCAGAUGAAGAGGAGAUGAAAUGUGAGUUUGCCCUAGUCAUGGCGAACUUUAUAUCGUUACAGAGAUUUUCAAGUUACAACCGAUUGGUGAGGAGCACCGCAUGGGUGCUCAGAUUUAUUCGACGAUGUCGUGGACUACGUAGCGUUCGAGAGGACCACGGACUGACGUCGAUGGAGUGCGCUGAGGCAGAGCGCACACUGAUAAGGCAAUCACAGCGAGAAGCGUUUGCCGUGGACAGCCAUGGAAAGGCCGCCAAGGGCAGCCGACUGUAUGGGUUGUCACCGUACUUCGACAAGGACGGAGUGAUGAGAGCCAGCGGAAGGAUCGACGACGCGGCGUGUGUGCCAUACAGCGCGCGACGGCCGAUCAUACUGUCUCACGAAGAGGCACUGGCGGAGAUGAUCGUGCAGCAUCACCACGAGAAGAUGUGCCACCAAAACGUGGAGGCAACUAUUGGAGCGAUCCGGCAGAAGUUCUGGAUUACGAACUUAAGGAGGCUGCUACGGAAGGUGAUGAGCAACUGCAAUGUAUGCAAGCUGCGGAAGGCGCGGCCUACGCAGCCAGAGAUGGGCCCCCUGCCAGAGGACCGGCUGGAAGCCAACGGAUGGCCAUUUAAGUAUACCGGCCUGGACUAUUUUGGACCGCUAUUUGUGACUGUUGGACGUCACACAGAGAAAAGGUGGGUGGCAUUGUUUACGUGUCUAACCACAAGGGCUAUCCACUUGGAGAUGGCCCACGAUUUGUCUACAGAUUCCUGUAUAAUCGCCAUGAGGAACUUCAUGAGCCGCCGUGGACCGGUGGUCAGGAUAAGGAGCGACAACGGGAAGAACUUCGUUGGAGCCGACAGAGAGGCCAGGAAGUUCAGCGAAGUGUUUGAGCCUGCAAAGAUCCAGGGCGAGCUGUCGUCCAAAGGAAUCGAAUGGAUCUUCAAUUGCCCGGCGAACCCAGCUGAGGGAGGCGCCUGGGAAAGGAUGGUGCAGUGCGUGAAGAAGGUGCUGGCGCACACAAUGAAGGAGCUCGCGCCCAAGGAGCACGUACUGGAGAACCUGUUGAUUGAGGCGGAGAGUAUAGUGAACUCUCGUCCGCUCACUCAUCUACCAGUGACGGUGGACCAGGAGGCUCCACUGACACCCAACGAUCUGCUGAAAGGAGUACCCGAUGUUCCGGAUCUUCCCAAGGAUAAUGGACAGGAGUCCAACGGAUGCGCUACCAGGAAGCAGUGGCGCAUAGCGAGAAUGAUGCGGGAUCGAUUCUGGAAGAGAUGGGUGCAUGAGUACCUGCCAACGCUUGUGCGCAGGGAGAGAUGGUGCAAGCAUGUCGAGCCCAUUCGUCGAGGAGACCUGGUGUUCAUAUGUGAUCCGGCCAUACCACGAAGAGAGUGGAAGCGAGGCGUCGUGGAAGAGGUGUUCGCCGGAAGAGAUGGAAUCCCUCGUCGAGCGGCGGUGCGGACUAACGAUCGAGCCAAGACGAUGAUGCGUCCCGCUUCGAGGCUAGCUGUCCUGGACGUGGUGAAGGCGAGUGCUUCACGGGGGUGGGGAUGUCGCGGAACGGUUUAGGGCUAUCGAUAGUUAGUCAAGUUGCAUUUUAGAGCCGCCAGAACUUAGAGAUAUUUGUGUCAGGAAUCUCGUGAAUGUGUAAUUCGGGCACACUAAAUCAUGUAAAGUUAUGCUUAAUUUUGGCGGAUAGUAUUACUACGAUUUGAGCAUCACACUGAGUGGGAAGGGAAACUGCGAAUAAAACAUAAGACCCAAAUACUCUGUUUGUUAUCGAA